AAUCCAUAGGUUAAUGAGGCGAACCGGGGGAACUGAAACAUCUAAGUACCCCGAGGAAAAGAAAUCAACCGAGAUUCCCCCAGUAGCGGCGAGCGAACGGGGAGGAGCCCAGAGCCUGAAUCAGCAUGUGUGUUAGUGGAAGCGUCUGGAAAGGCGCGCGAUACAGGGUGACAGCCCCGUACACAAAAGCGCAUGUGCUGUGAGCUCGAUGAGUAGGGCGGGACACGUGGUAUCCUGUCUGAAUAUGGGGGGACCAUCCUCCAAGGCUAAAUACUCCUGACUGACCGAUAGUGAACCAGUACCGUGAGGGAAAGGCGAAAAGAACCCCGGCGAGGGGAGUGAAAAAGAACCUGAAACCGUGUACGUACAAGCAGUGGGAGCCCCACCACCAAAGCAUUUGCUGUACCGCGU
rnacentral:rRNA from 1 species